GUAAUGUAGCUCAGUGGUAGAGUACUUGCCUAGCAUGCACAAUGCCCUGGGUUCAGUCCCUAGCAACA
rnacentral:tRNA from 1 species